ACAGCGUAACAGAAACAGCUGCUGCUACUACGUCUGCAUAUUCCGUUCUAUCGACCAGUAACAAAGUCAGUCCGAGGCCGUUUAAUCCCUCGUGCUUUCAGUAUUUUGCCACUGUUCUGGAUCCCACCGAUCAUUAAGGAAAAGGAGAAAACCAAACAAACAAAGAAACUUCAUUCUGUGCUCCUGCCGUGCUGACGUGUCAUCACAAUUACCCGGAAGCCGGUGACAUCACAGUUAAAGGUCCUCCUGAAACCAACAACAGAAAACCUGUUCCAGCGCCUGCCUCUGAGCAAGAUUAUUUUCUCAUCAGACCUCUCUUGCUGUGGGGCAAUCUAUAUUGGAGCCCUAAUCCGUUGGAUUAUAAUGGACAUUUAUUUUUGGAGAAGAAUUUUGUGAUUAUUUUUUGAUGGCUAUAUAUUUAUUUUUCUUUUUGAAAUACAAGGACUGUUAAGCCUAAUUUUUUGUUGU